rnacentral:ribozyme from 1 species
AUGAUACUGACGACGGUGGUGACAAUAACGAUGAUGAAGAACCAGAAGAAACACAACCAUCAUUGAUACCAACGGCAAUGAUAUCAACGACAGGAAUGACAACAGCGAUGGAAUACCU